UACAGAGGGGGCAAGCGUUGUUCGGAAUUAUUGGGCGUAAAGGGUGCGUAGGCGGUCGUGCAAGUUAGGAGUGCAAUCCCAUGGCUUAACCAUGGAACUGCUUUUAAUACUACAUGACUGGAGGCAGAGAGAGGGUAGCGGAAUUCCUAGUGUAGAGGUGAAAUUCGUAGAUAUUAGGAGGAACACCGGUGGCGAAGGCGGCUACCUGGCUCUGUACUGACGCUGAGGCACGAAAGUGUGGGGAGCAAACAGG
rnacentral:rRNA from 1 species